rnacentral:rRNA from 1 species
UUUCCGGUUGAUCCCGCCGGACCUGACUGCUAUCGGAUUGAUACUAAGCCAUGCGAGUCUUUGCAGUAAUGCAAGGCAUACGGCUCAGUAACACGUAGUCAACUUACCCUAUGGACGAGGAUAAUCUCGGGAAACUGAGCAUAAUACUCGAUAGAUCAUAAUGCCUGGAAUGGUUUAUGGUUGAAAUGAUUCGUCGCCAUAGGAUGGGACUGCGGCCUAUCAGCUUGUUGGUGAGGUAAUGGCCCACCAAGGCGAUUACAGGUACGGGCUCUGAGAGGAGAAGCCCGGAGAUGGGUACUGAGACAAGGACCCAGGCCCUAUGGGGCGCAGCAGGCGAGAAAACUUUGCAAUGUGCGAAAGCACGACAAGGCUAAUCCGAGUGAUUUCUGCUAAAGAAAUCUUUUGCAAGUCAUAAAACCACUAGUGAAUAAGGGGUGGGCAAGUUCUGGUGCCAGCCGCCGCGGUAAAACCAGCACCUCAAGUGGUCAGGAGGAUUAUUGGGCCUAAAGCAUCCGUAGCCGGCUCUGUAAGUUUUCGGUUAAAUCCAUGUGCUCAACGCAUGGGCUGCCGAAAAUACUGCAUAGCUAGGGAGUGGGAGAGGUAGACGGUACUCGGUAGGAAGGGGUAAAAUCCUUUGAUCUAUCGAUGACCACCUGUGGCGAAGGCGGUCUACCAGAACACGUUCGACGGUGAGGGAUGAAAGCUGGGGGAGCAAACCGGAUUAGAUACCCGGGUAGUCCCAGCUGUAAACGAUGCAGACUCGAUGAUGCAUUGGCAUAUAGCCAGUGCAGUGUCGCAGGGAAGCCGUUAAGUCUGCCGCCUGGGAAGUACGUACGCAAGUAUGAAACUUAAAGGAAUUGGCGGGGGAGCACCACAAGGGGUGAAGCCUGCGGUUCAAUUGGAGUCAACGCCGGG